GGAGCUGUGCCUGAUGGAUAAGGAUUGUUUUGAUGAGACAAAUAUGGCAAGCGCCCGGCCCCA
rnacentral:tRNA from 1 species